rnacentral:rRNA from 1 species
AUUGAACGCUGGCGGCAUGCCUUACACAUGCAAGUCGAACGGCAGCGGACCUUCGGGUGCCGGCGAGUGGCGAACGGGUGAGUAAUAUAUCGGAACGUACCUUUCAGUGGGGGGAUAACGUAGCGAAAGUUACGCUAAUACCGCAUAUUCUGUGAGCAGGAAAGCAGGGGAUCGCAAGACCUUGCGCUGAUUGAGCGGCCGAUAUCAGAUUAGCUAGUUGGUGAGGUAAAGGCUCACCAAGGCGACGAUCUGUAGCGGGUCUGAGAGGAUGAUCCGCCACACUGGAACUGAGACACGGUCCAGACUCCUACGGGAGGCAGCAGUGGGGAAUUUUGGACAAUGGGCGCAAGCCUGAUCCAGCCAUGCCGCGUGAGUGAAGAAGGCCUCGGUU